rnacentral:piRNA from 1 species
UGUGAUGUCUGAGCAAGACAAGGAC